UACGUAGGGUGCGAGCGUUUAAUCGGAAUUACUGGGCGUAAAGCGUGCGUAGGCGGUUCGCUGUGUCCGAUGUGAAAGCCCCGGGCUUAACCUGGGAAUGGCAUUGGAAACUGGCGGGCUUGAGUGCGGGCAGAGGGGGUGGAAUUCCGCGUGUAGCAGUGAAAUGCGUAGAGAUGCGGAGGAACACCGAUGGCGAAGGCAGCCCCCUGGGUCGACACUGACGCUCAGGCACGGAAAGCGUGGGGAGCAAACAGG
rnacentral:rRNA from 1 species